rnacentral:rRNA from 1 species
UACAGAGGGUGCGAGCGUUAAUCGGAGUUACUGGGCGUAAAGGGCGCGUAGGCGGUAGGAUGUGAGUGGUGUGAAAGCCCUGGGCUUAACCUAGGAAGCGCAUCGCAGACUAUCUUACUGGAGUAGAUGAGAGGGUGAUGGAAUUUCCGGUGUAGCGGUGAAAUGCGUAGAGAUCGGAAGGAACGUCGAUGGCGAAGGCAGUCACCUGGCAUCAUACUGACGCUGAAGCGCGAAAGCGUGGGGAUCGAACAGG